UACGGGGGGGGGCAAGCGUUUGUUCGGAAUUACUGGGCGUAAAGGGCUCGUAGGCGGCCAACUAAGUCAUACGUGAAAUCCCUCGGCUUAACCGGGGAACUGCGUCUGAUACUGGAUGGCUUGAGUUCGGGAGAGGGAUGCGGAAUUCCAGGUGUAGCGGUGAAAUGCGUAGAUAUCUGGAGGAACACCGGUGGCGAAGGCGGCAUCCUGGACCGAUACUGACGCUGAGGAGCGAAAGCCAGGGGAGCAAAGCGGGG
rnacentral:rRNA from 1 species